rnacentral:rRNA from 1 species
GAUGAACGCUGGCGGCGUGCUUAACACAUGCAAGUCGAACGGAAAGGCUCCUGCUUGCUGGGGUACUCGAGUGGCGAACGGGUGAGUAACACGUGGGUAAUCUGCCCUGCACUUCGGGAUAAGCCUGGGAAACUGGGUCUAAUACCGGAUAGGACCACAUUUUGGAUGGUGUGGUGGAAAGUUUUUCGGUGUGGGAUGAGCUCGCGGCCUAUCAGCUUGUUGGUGGGGUAAUGGCCUACCAAGGCGUCGACGGGUAGCCGGCCUGAGAGGGUGUACGGCCACAUUGGGACUGAGAUACGGCCCAGACUCCUACGGGAGGCAGCAGUGGGGAAUAUUGCACAAUGGGCGCAAGCCUGAUGCAGCGACGCCGCGUGGGGGAUGACGGCCUUCGGGUUGUAAACUCCUUUCGCUAGGGACGAAGCGCAAGUGACGGUACCUGGAGAAGAAGCACCGGCUAACUACGUG